rnacentral:piRNA from 1 species
UACACUGGCUGCUGUGAAGAGGUAUGGAA